rnacentral:rRNA from 1 species
AGCGAACGCUGGCGGCAGGCCUAACACAUGCGAGUCGAGCUGAUGAAGAGAGCUUGCUCUCUGAUUUAGCGGCGGACGGGUGAGUAAUGCCUAGGAAUCUGCCUGGUAGUGGGGGAUAACGUUCCGAAAGGAACGCUAAUACCGCAUACGUCCUACGGGAGAAAGCAGGGGACAUUCGGGCCUUGCGCUAUCAGAUGAGCCUAGGUCGGAUUAGCUAGUUGGUGAGGUAAUGGCUCACCAAGGCUACGAUCCGUAACUGGUCUGAGAGGAUGAUCAGUCACACUGGAACUGAGACACGGUCCAGACUCCUACGGGAGGCAGCAGUGGGGAAUAUUGGACAAUGGGCGAAAGCCUGAUCAAGCCAUGCCGCGUGUGUGAAGAAGGUCUUCGGAUUGUAAAGCACUUUAAGUUGGGAGGAAGGGCAGUAAGUUAAUACCUUGCUGUUUUGACGUUACCGACAGAAUAAGCACCGGCUAACUCUGUGCCAGCAGCCGCCGUAAUAC